CACAAGCACGCACGUCCGGAUGUAACAGACACACCACACCGAAACUGGGACACACCACACACUGAAAUCGCGAUUUCUCCCUCCCCGAGCCGCGCUAUCAGCUGGGGAGGUCCUCCCGCCUUUUCCUAGUCUGGCUUCUAGUUACCCGCUGGUUAUUCCACUGGAGCUCAACAUUCACCUCAUUCUCACCUCAUCCCCCUCCGAACCGGGGCAGAGGAAUGUUGUGGUGAAUGUGGAGAGACGUCUCACUCAUCACACUCCGGGAUCCCAGCCCCGACCGAGCGGGCCCCGUUCCCUUUAAACGGAGCAACCUCAGUAGCCCCGAAGGACCACUGAAAGGUACUUACACAGUCCUGUGUCUUCGCCCGGGACUUCGUGCACAAAGAUUAAGGGGUUGCCGGCUAUUCUUUGCUUGCCACCGAAUUUGGGUUCGUCAGUAAGGGUCCCAGAGGGGAGACUCCUGAGCGGGGCUCGCUGCCAAGGCAGCGAGGGUGCCUCCCCAGGAGGAGCUUCCAGCGGAUAGCCCUUAUCCGAGUCACGGCACCAGAUUGUUAUAAAUAGAGGCGAAUAAUUUGUUCAGCCUUUCAAGAGUCAAUCAGAAAUUUAUUGGUUACAGCAAGCGAUGGCAAGCAGACAGCGCUGGGUGCAGCCGGGGAGUCCCCGCUCUGCCUACGGCUCACCCCGUUUCCCCCUUCCCGCAGUCUUUUUAUACUCUCUUUCUUCCAUGUCUGUGGUAUCUCUGGGUGUACUCUGCGCUUGCGCCCUCUGUUGCUAGAGGGUCUUCUUCUACUCUCUGGUGGUCGCUUGGGGGAGGCUCCUCUCUUCUUCCUUGGUGAAAGUCCACGGCCCUGUAAUGGUCUUUUCCAUAUGUACCUAAGUUCUAAUUACACAACCAGCUUAAGUAAUCAACAUACUAACUAGUUUCUGUCUGGCCGUUUUCUGUUAUCUACGAAAGGCUUCUCCUUUGGCUCUCUGUUAUCUUCCACAAGGCUUCUCCUUUGAUAUUCUGUUAUCUACACAAGGCUUCUCCUUUCUGUCUUGAUGAACAAAGAGUCUUCUCUAACUUAUCACAGGAGGCUUUGAAAGUAUUAAGCUUAAGAAAACAAGAAACCUGCAUCUAAUCCCAGAAGCUUAGUGUGUCUCAGGUGGCUGCUGCUGAUUUUAAGUGUCUUGCUGUUGAUCACCGUCCUACUUUUGAGCAACCUUUGCAUCCUAGCUGCUUCUCUUAGGUUCCUGCUCUUUUAUUUUGAAGUCUGGUUUUUGGGGAAAACAGCAUCAGACACUGGAUGAGCUUCUGAUUUUGAAUGGCCAUGUGCUGGCUUGGGUACGAAGCGUUUAUCCUAGCUUUCAAGAACAAAGUACAGCCUGUUAUGAUUCAGCUGCCACCUGUCUGAUGAGCUGCUCCACUCUGGUUGAAAAAUAACCCCUAAGCUACUGCGAGUCAAGAGCCCUUGUUUUUAAUAAGUAACUUUAAACUUCUACACUGGAGGCUGUCGUGGUUUAGAAGAAGAGGAAAAUUUAGGGAAGUGAUGCAGAAGCUUUUUGUGUAACUGACAGUCUGUUGAACCACUGAGAAGCUGGACACGCCUCUGUGAAACACAUGUUAAAGAGGAAAAAAGGCGGGAACUCUCUCUUUCCCUUCCGGUCACAAAUAAAGGUGACGCGGCUGGGCGGGCCCCGGCCCGAGCCCGGCUCCCUUUCCCCGGGCCGCCUGCCGGCUCCCCCGGCCUUCCCCCACCUGCUCCCGGGCAGGGACGGGGGUGCCGCGGGCCGAAUGCAGCCGGCCUUGCCAACAUCUGGCUGCUUGCUACAACUCCCCAGCCCGGGCCCCGGCCGCACCCGCUCCGCCCCGGGUCGGUGCCGGGAUUUUACCCCCGUGGAAGUUGCCCGCACCCAUCGGGCAGGGGGAAAGAGAAGGUCACACAUCCCCCAGUCCCAAUCCUGGCGUGCUGCCGCUGAGUUCUGGCCUGGCUCGUCAGAUCCGAGCGCCUCGCCCAGCUGCUCAGCUGAGGGGUCAGUUUGCACCUGGAGCAGAAUAUGUAACCUGCCAAACCCAAGAUCCUUGAAGCAGAAGCUUGCUGGUCCUUCAGAGCUCCAGGACCACGUGGUUUUGCAAUGACACUUAGAGAAGGUGCCAACCAAAUCCCAGAGGAGCAUCAGUAGGUGGCUGUGCUGACCCACAUCAAGGCUAUCAGGGCCUGGAAAACAGAAGAGCAAACCUGCUGGAGGUCACAGUGCUCUCCCUGCAUGCUGACACUGCUUGAAGAGUUAACAGGGACCUGCAAGGUGCUGGCAUUGUUUGGAACUUGCUGUGGCUUUAACGUUUCUUUUUGUCAUUCUGAAGCAAUUUAUGGACACAACAGAAAAUUUUUCGGUUUUUGCUUGGAGAAGCGAUGGCUGCUUGGUAUUGUUAGGAAAAUUAAUCCACAAACAUCAGAGGUUUAUGUCCAAAAAGGAGACAGAGGAGUCCUUUUACUUUAUUCCAAAAAAGGGAGAGGCCAUGGGGCAUUCCCCUGGGGUCUCUUAAAUUAUUGGAGGACGCAGCCUCCUUUUUAUCCUAAUUUCCCGUCCGGAUUUUCCUUCUCUCUUUCCCCAUUGGCUGAGGUACUUGAGAGGUACAGACUUCCCAUAACACCUGAUACCAGAGAUUUCCAUCUAAUGUAUAACCCUCCUGUUUGAUUUUUAUUUCUUAUAGAAUUUAGGGUUUUUCCCCAUUGUUUCUUUCAUCUUUCAAUGUCUAAUUUCAUUUAUCAGCAAACCUAAAGUUUAUUUGUAAAAGCAAGUAUCUUUUUUCCAUUCAUCAAUCAGUGGACUCCUUCCCAUUGUUUCUUUUAUCUCUCAGUGCUAGUUUUAUCUACCAGCAGACCCACAGCUUGUUUGUAAAGACAAAUCUGUCAUUCCUCUCAGUAUUUACAAGACGUGCAUACAAAAAUAUUUAUAUAUAUAUAUAUAUAUAUAUAUAUAUAUAUAUGCUUGAUUACUCAAAAAAAUAAAAAGGAAUUUGCAGAGGGCUUGACUUUUAAACUGCUUAAGCAAAGUGCUUGUAAAUCAGCCUGUGGUGAGAAUUAUUCUUGAGGACUCAGUUAUACAGUGAAAUUAUGGGUAUGAGAUUGUCACAAGCCCUUGAGUCACUGCAGCUUUAUGAAUGACUGACCUCCCUUUGCACUCCCUUUGUUUGUGUGAGGAAGUAAGUUCUGUUUCACGGCUAGGAGUGUCCUGAGUACCUUAAUGACAAUCAGUAAUUUGGUAAGAUGAGCUUUUGCGUCUGUCAGUGCUCCUGUACUGAGAGUGGCUUCCAGCUUAGGAUGGCCCCUGAAAUGGCUGUGAAGGUGCUGGUGCAAAGGCUGUUAUCUGUCCUGUCACUUUUACAAUUGCAAUGUCAUAUGGCAGCCUCUGUACUUUACCAAAAUCCUAAACUUAGGUGGGCAGUUGUUCCAACCUCUGCUAGGACAGCUGGGAGGAGAGAACGUGUUAAUGUGCAGAGCUGAGUCUUUCCCAAAAAGCCCUAAGUACAGUACUUCCUUGGCAGAAGAUUAGCACCCUGUUCCUUUGAAGGGCAACAGGAAAGUUUAGUCUACUUUCAAGCAGCUGUGACCAGGAGAGCCCCCAGUCAGAGGGAUGAGUCCUUUGUAAUUAUAAUUGCAAAGCUGAAUUAGGCUGGUUGAUAGGAUUUAUUUUAUUCUAAUUUUUCAACUUGUGUUGAGGUGAAUCAAAAAAUGUGGGGAGGGUGAAAGGGCAGAGUUUUCUGCUCACUUAGCAAACCCAGGCAGUCCUUCCAGUGGGAAGGAAACUUCAACUGACUGUGUCUAGGCACCUGAAUUUUUUUGUCAGUUUUGUCAAGAAUGCACAGUUUGCAUUAGGACUGGAUUUAAUCCCUGCUUAUCUUUUUCCUGCUUUUUUAUGCUCUAAGUCAAGUAUCAUAGAGAACAACAAGCGGGUGGGAACAGUGGUCCCAGUUCAUAGAUUCUCCAAGGGAAGUGCUCUCUUCUCUUAGGAGUUGAGAUGGAUUGCAAGAUGAGGCAGGUUUCCCAACAUUUCUCUGCCAUCUGGUGGAAGGAAUCCGGGGGCUGUCCUACAGCCCUUGGGAGUCAGCAACAAAUAUUUGAACUUCAGAGAAUUGCUCAGUUCACCAACUUUUCAUGCAGUGAGAGAGAUGUAGUUUGGAUAUUACAAAAACUCAAAAGACACCUUAAUGCUAGAAUAGAUUUUUGUGAGAGGAGGGGAGUUUCCAGACAAAAUAUUAUACCCAGAUAUGAUGCUUUUGGGGUGGAAGAUGGACUAGAGUAGAUCUGCAAGCAUGAUCCAGCCAGCAGGGAGUUCUAGUACCAUCCAGGAGAGCACGGACUGAUUCUCACCUCUGCCAGACUAAGAUCUGGGGAAGAACUCACAACCUGUUUUCCUGCUUUAGGUGGGCACAUCAACUGCAUGUGCAGUUUGUUGUCUAAAAGACAGAGUUGGACCAUGAAACAUUAUAAACCCUCCCUAUGUACCCACAUCCCUGGUCCUGUGCACCAACAAAGUGAGGGAGACAAGGGGAGUUGGUGAAAACUUCAAGCUGCAUGCAUUUGUCUUUAGUUGUUAAAACCAACACAAAGUCUGAACUUGUGGAAAAUAAGAAGGCAAGGCAGGUAAGCUGAGGCAGCUCUGCCUGUUUGUAAUAAACCAAAAAUAAAUGGACAAUUCCAGC